rnacentral:rRNA from 1 species
GCCGCCGCUGUCCUCCCCGCGCGGCCGCCCUCCCCUCCGCGCGCGUCCAUCCCCGUCGCCAACAUCCCUCCCGUGCCCCCUCCGGCCAGCUUCCGGCCCCAGCCGCCCCCCACCUUCUCCCCCGCGCCGCUCCCCUCCGCCUCCGUCGCCAUCCCCAUCGGCGCGGACGGGUUCGGGAGCCCCGCCAACACGCUCACGGAGCCCGUCUGGGACACCGUCAAGCGCGACCUCACCCGCAUCGUCAGCAACCUCAAGCUCGUCGUUUUCCCCAACCCCUACCGCGAGGACCCAGGCAAGGCGCUCCGGGACUGGGAUCUCUGGGGCCCCUUCUUCUUCAUCGUCUUCCUCGGCCUCACCCUCUCAUGGUCGGCCUCAGUCAGGAAGUCCGAAGUAUUUGCUGUCGCGUUUGCCGUACUGGCUGCCGGUGCUAUAAUCCUCACGCUGAAUGUGCUGCUUCUGGGCGGCCAAAUCAUCUUCUUCCAAAGCCUGAGUCUUCUUGGAUACUGCUUGUUCCCCAUGGACGUGGGAGCUCUGAUUUGCCUGCUGAAGGACAACGACAUGCUAAAAAUCAUUGUAGUGGCAGUAACAUUAGCAUGGAGCUCCUGGGCCGCGUAUCCAUUCAUGAGCACCGCCGUGAACCCAAGGAGGAAGGCCCUGGCGCUGUACCCCGUCUUCCUCAUGUAUGUCUCCAUUAGCUUCCUCAUAAUCGCGAUAAACUGA